AACGAACGCUGGCGGCAGGCUUAACACAUGCAAGUCGAGCGCCCCUCACGGGGAGCAGCAGACGGGUGAGUAACGCGUGGGAAUCUACCCAACUCUACGGAAUAACUCAGGGAAACUUGUGCUAAUACCGUAUACGCCCUUCGGGGAAAGAUUUAUCGGAGUUGGAUGAGCCCGCGUUGGAUUAGCUAGUUGGUGGGGCA
rnacentral:rRNA from 1 species